CUUCCCUGCUGCGCCCCGGGCGGCUGUCCCUUGCCGAUUUUCCCGGGGGGCUUUCCCUGCCCUGCCCGGUCGUGGGGCUCCCGGUGCCCCUUCCCCGGCAGGGCAGCGGAUGUGCGCACCGGUGCGGGGUCCCGUUGCAUGGUGCGGGGGUCUUUGCUCCCUGUGGGGGCCCCUUGCACGCUGAGGACCACCCGCACAUGCUGGGCACUGCUGGCCUUGAUCGCAUCCUGCACCCCCCGCCCCGACUUUCCACCAGCUUGCUGUUUGAUAAGAGGGGCUGUGGGAUGCCUCAGGCCAGAAGGCCAGUCUGUAAGCAUACGCAGCGGUCGUGAUCGGUGAUCACGCUCAUGGAAGCUCCACCACCGGUCAGGUGCAGUGUAGCAUGACAGGUCUCCUCCACAGCCCUCAUCUGCUUGUCUGACGAGCAGGAACAGGCUUCGUAGCCAGCCCAGGGUAGCAAGGUCACGCUACAAGUUCAGGGAACUAAACACCACCCAGAGCGAUGCUGAGGCUGCAACUGCAUCAGCACACUGCAUGUCUGCCGUGCUGCUGCUUGGGGAGGGAGGUACUGGUUUUUUGGAGAGAUUCAGUUAGUAUUGCACAUGACUGGUGUUACCCAGUCACGAUACCUGCAAGUGUGCAGAUGCUGCCUCAGCGUUUAGAAGAUUUCGCAUCUCUGCUGUGGAAGUUUUCACUCUGUUUCGGUGCAGUGGGAUCAGGAUUGAACAGGAGAAUUCUGCGCCACUCCUGUACAUGCAGUUCUGGUCCGGGACUCAACAGGCCUCUUUCAAAAGAAAGACCUCAGACUUGGGGAGAAUAUGUGGCAUGCUUCAUCGAUUUUGGCAGACUAAUAUGUGAAAAGAUUACUUGGGUCUCCUGAUGAGAAAAGGAAACAUUGUUUUGUUCCUCGACAUCUGGUAGGGGAAGCAGGAUGAGUUCAGACAUGGGCUGAAAUGAUCAAUGGAGAGUUCAGAUGUGUUAGUUGUUCAUCUGUCCUUGUCCUGAGAAUUGAUUGUUGCAUCCAUGGGAGAUUGCUGGCAUGAAGAAAACACUUACAGUAAUUAAAGUGAGGGAAGCUGAUGUCAGGCUUGCUUCUCCCUUUCAAAGGAACUAAGAACUUCACCAGAAAACAGUUUUGUUUCAAAGCAAACUUCAUUCCACUGAAUGCAGUAUCCGUACUGACACAAUUGAAAUAUGGCUUAUUGCAGCUCUGUAGCAAUGGAGCACAACUGUGGAGCUCUGCAGUGGAGAUCACACUUAAGACACCCUCCAGCCGCCACCACCCUCACCCUCUGCGGCAGGCGCCUGCUCCCAGGGAGGAGAGCGCAUCUGAAGAGGAGCUUUGGCUGUGGAUCAUCCUAAGGCACUUUCUGACCUCAUCGGUUUUGUCCUUGUCCCCCUGGGUUGCUCACAGGUGUUGAUCCACCCAAGACGGGCAGAGCCUCCAGUCUGAUGCACCUGCCGAGAGCCAGCGCUGCAGCCUCACCCCUCCGAAGCGUCGUGCAGGAUGGGCGUUUGCCAGGUCUCACUUUGGGGAUGAGCAGAGUGACUGACCUCAGAAGCUGCAGGCACGCUUUCCGAAAAGAGCAGGAGGUCUCUGGCUCAGCGCUGCCUUUCCUUUGCCCUUCUCCUUCACACUCCCUGCAUGGAGGUGAAUUGCCAUUUCUUUUCAGGAGCUGUUGCCUUCCUUGUUGCUUUUGUGAGAUGCAGGCAGCCGGCUCAGACGUGGUUUAUUUCCUUGUAAUGCAGUUUUCCUACUUGUUUCUUUAGGGUACUGCUCUGCGCAGUUGUUUUUAGCCAGCUUUCUGUGUUGGUUUGCUCUCCUGUUCCCUGUUUUUCCUUAUCACCCUCUCCUGUGCUCCAUCUGCCCCUUUGCAACUGGUGUUGCUGGUGAUGAUGGCUCCUACGCUGCCGUCUGCUUAGCAGUGACCGGGGGGUACCUGCACCCUGUUCCUCAAUAAUUCCUGCCAUUCCUCUGCAUAGGCAAGCAAAGCUGCAGCAGCAUCCUUCUGGCAGGAGCUACCUGCAGCUCAGGCAGGAGAGGGGUCUGGGUAUUUGGUGGGACCUGAAGAAAGCAGAGGGAGAAGCAGAUAGGUUACCGUGGAGUGGGGACGUGAGAAAUAUCUUGGGCAACAGCCCUGGGGAAUUGCUUGUUGCCCCUCCAAGCCAGAGGAAUUUUAUGGAGGAAGCUGGCCUUGGCACAGGGGCACGAAAAAUUCUUGAAGGGGAAAAGAAGAAAAAAGUAAAUAUUUUCCUGAGGGCUUGGCUCCCUGCACCGUGUCCCUGCAGGACCAGAUGUGCUGCAGUGCCAGCACAAGAAGAGCAGGACGAAGCGUGGCCAUAAAAAAGUAUUUUGUGGUCGUGGUUCACCUGGUCCUGCUCUCUGCUCUCCAAAAGCCUCCUGGAUUGAGCCCUGUUGGGAAAUUGAGUAAACUGCAGGUGUCUCUACUGCCUGGACUUCACUGGAGGCAGGCACGGAGCUUCCCAGCCCAGCGUGCAGCAUAGGCACGACUCAGGAGCUUCAUUUCUACCAUCCUCCUUCUCUCCUGUCUUUCUGUCUCUUCAGUUCUUGCUCUCUUUGCAUGCAGAACUGUCCACCUAUCCGCAUGUACAUCUGCAUGCAGCGCAGCUGGGACGCGGCCUCGCUGAAAGCCACUAUUGCUAUUCAUAUAAUUAAUAACCAUGACCUUUCUGUACAAGGAGUAUCUUUUUCAGUGAAUUACAACAUAUAAUGAUGUUUGUAGGAAACAGACUGCUGAGUAUCUCAUGCUGAAGGAAGCCAAAGCUUCCUAUUUAUGACAUGGUGAGAUCA